UUGAACUCACAACCGAGGGUUUAGCAGGCCAAUGCUCAAACCACAGUUAUCCCUCCCCAGACUGAGUGUCUGAUUUGUGUGGAUGUCCUAAUGCUGUUUCGCACACCUGAUCAGGAGUGCGUUUCUGCAGUGUUGUGUUGCAGGCAAGAUUAAUGCUGAAUCAAGUGACUAGUAUUCAGUUUGACCCAAGAAGCAUCUGAACUCAGGCACUGGUCAGCAACUGAGGGGUAGAAAAAGCCCCAAACCAUCAUAUUCAAACUGGUUGCUUCAAGUAAUUAUUUAAUGGGUCAGAUCUUUAGUAGCAGGCAUAAGUCAAUGGUCUGCAAAAGUUGCUAUGCCAUUUGGCACCAGCUGAUGAUCUGGCUCUGUAUAUUUAUUGAUAGUAAUUGCUUGAUGUUUUUUCCCCUCAGCAGUUGCAUGCAGUAUCACCAGUAUGGAACUGUACAGGACACAAACACUUUCUCAUAGCCAGUAAUUUUGACUUCUGCCAGCCCCCCGCCCAUAGAUUCACCAUGUUGGCCUUGUCUGUAUGCUGCAUUGUGAUUAAUUUUAUUACUUUUGUGGCUUUUGCUGAAAAAUUGAAAUCUUAUUUCUGAGUGAUUAAGCAAACUAUAAAAUGGAAACCAUUCCUUCAUCUCUAAAGAUGUAAACACAGAAGAACCCUGAUGUUCAAACACACACACACACACACACACGCCCUUUUAAGAUAUAGGGCUGGGAAUCAUCUAUCAUUAUCUGUUUAUUCUCUGUAGCUCUCUAUGUUCAAAUACCAUACCAUCCCCACAGCAGCUGUGCGUCUGUGAAAAUGCUAUAUUGACAGCCCUGGAAACUGAAAUCCUCUCAAAUAUAUCAACAGAACAGCUUUGCAAGCUUCUGGUUGCAGUUUUGAAAGCUUCUCAGGUUAUGUGACUCAAACUUGACCUCUACGGAUAACCACUAGUGGUGAGAAGGUAGUUCAUUCUCUAUGCUGAUUUUAAUUGUCCUUUCUGAUGAGAUUCUCAAUCAGUGACAACUGGGCCAUGGAAACCUGUCCACUAGGAACUAGACACCACCAGAUUAUUUCAGAUAUAGUAGGUCACCAGACAGCUGUCUUCUACUAAGAAUCUGGGCUGGAUUUGAACUGGUGCCCCAAAGGCAGAAGCCUCUUCAUUCCCUAACAUUGCCUCAAGCCAUCCGGUCUCCCAAAGGAACUCUUCGAACCUCGAAAUAACGUCAUGUUACAGAGACUGCUAAAGACGUUAGAUUACAUCUAGAAAUCGCACAGGGGUAAAACACUCCCCUUGCUUUUAAAACUAAAUUGCUUCAUUAUAAUUUCCAGAAAGAGAGCAUGUGAUUCUUCAUGUGCAUUGUUGUCUCUCUCAAUUAAUGCUUUCCACAGGAGUUCAAGUUUAAGCAUCUCCCUUUCUCUUCCCAGGCUCUCCACAUUUCCCAGACUGUUUUCCAGAGCUACAGAUCAUUCUGUUUCUGAGAUGCUGCAUUUCUCACCUGCUGAUUGCAAUUAGCAACUGCCAGCUGGGACCUGGUGUGCUGCUGAAGAGCUAACAAGAAGUGGAGAGCAGCAUGAGGCCUAGACAAGCACUGCACAAUGGGGCCCUGAUCCUUGAUUCCUUAGGCACCUACUGUGUUACUACUACCAAUAAUAAUGGCAGUAGAGAAGCUGAUCAAGAAGGAAGCAAGCAGAGGCACAGUUUCAUCAGAAAUCUUCAGCAAGUAAACCCUGGUGAUCCAGUCUGUGGCCAUGAGAGUGGUCAGCAGGGCUAUUCAUUGCAUCUGAAGAUUUUUUUUAAAAGGGGUGGCGAUGGAAGGGAAUGGUCUGACAAAGAGGAAUGGAGAAUAGCAGUGGAAGAGAGGGUAAGCAAUGGGGAAUUUUGGGGUGAGGAUAGAAUAAAGGAGAAAUGUAGAACUGGAGAAGAAAUAAAAAGAUGGAAAAAUCUUGGGGAAUGUGUGGUGUAUUGAGAGCUAUUUUGGAUUUGCACAUUAUUACUUUAAGCGUGGUGGGGUUUCCUGAUCCUGCUUGCAGGCUAGGGGGCUCUGUAGCAAAGCAUGCAAUCAGAGUCAGUCUUGGAAAAAUCGGCUUUAAGCAACAUGGGGUUCAGUGGAGCCUCCCUGUCUUCAGGAGCAGCCGGUUUUCUCUCUCUGUGUAUUUGGGUUCUGGUGUGUUAUUGUUUUGCAUUCUAAGAAAUAAAAGUGUUACGUUACAACCUUCCA